UGGGGAAUAUUGGGCAAUGGGGGAAACCCUGACCCAGCAACGCCGCGUGAAGGAAGAAGGCUUUCGGGUUGUAAACUUCUUUGACGAGGGACGAAAGAAAUGACGGUACCUCGAAAACAAGCCACGGCUAACUACGUGCCAGCAGCCGCGGUAAUACGUAGGUGGCAAGCGUUGUCCGGAUUUACUGGGUGUAAAGGGCGCGUAGGCGGGAUAGCAAGUCAGAUGUGAAAUGCCAGGGCUUAACCCUGGAGCUGCAUUUGAAACUGCUGUUCUUGAGUAUCGGAGAGGCAGGCGGAAUUCCUAGUGUAGCGGUGAAAUGCGUAGAUAUUAGGAGGAACACCAGUGGCGAAGGCGGCCUGCUGGACGACAACUGACGCUGAUGCGCGAAAGCGUGGGGAGCAAACAGG
rnacentral:rRNA from 2 species